rnacentral:tRNA from 1 species
GUUUUAAUAAUUUAAUAAAAAUGUUAGUUUUGUAAACUAAAAUUAGGAAUGAUCCUUUAAAUCA